UGGGGAAUUUUGGACAAUGGGGGCAACCCUGAUCCAGCAAUGCCGCGUGUGUGAAGAAGGCCUUCGGGUUGUAAAGCACUUUUGUCCGGAAAGAAAUCCCCUGGGAUAAUACCUCGGGGGGAUGACGGUACCGGAAGAAUAAGGACCGGCUAACUACGUGCCAGCAGCCGCGGUAAUACGUAGGGUCCGAGCGUUAAUCGGCAUUACUGGGCGUAAAGCGUGCGCAGGCGGUUUUGUAAGACAGAUGUGAAAUCCCCGGGCUCAACCUGGGAAUUGCAUUUGUGACUGCAAGGCUAGAGUGUGUCAGAGGGGGGUAGAAUUCCACGUGUAGCAGUGAAAUGCGUAGAGAUGUGGAGGAAUACCGAUGGCGAAGGCAGCCCCCUGGGAUAACACUGACGCUCAUGCACGAAAGCGUGGGGAGCAAACA
rnacentral:rRNA from 1 species